GUUGCUGUGGUGUAGUGGUUAUCACGUUUGUCUUACACACAAAAGGUCCCCAGUUUGAUCCUGGGCAGCAGCA
rnacentral:tRNA from 1 species